AGCGAACGCUGGCGGCAGGCCUAACACAUGCAAGUCGAACGAAGUCUUCGGACUUAGUGGCGGACGGGUGAGUAACACGUGGGAACGUGCCUUUAGGUUCGGAAUAACUCAGGGAAACUUGUGCUAAUACCGAAUGUGCCCUUCGGGGGAAAGAUUUAUCGCCUUUAGAGCGGCCCGCGUCUGAUUAGCUAGUUGGUGAGGUAAAGGCUCACCAAGGCUACGAUCAGUAGCUGGUCUGAGAGGAUGACCAGCCACAUUGGGACUGAGACACGGCCCAAACUCCUACGGGAGGCAGCAGUGGGGAAUCUUGCGCAAUGGGCGAAAGCCUGACGCAGCCAUGCCGCGUGGAUGAUGAAGGUCUUAGGAUUGUAGAAUCCUUUCAUCGGUGAAGAUAAUGACUGUAGCCGGAGAAGAAGCCCCGGCUAACUUCGUGCCAGCAGCCGCCGCAGUAA
rnacentral:rRNA from 1 species